rnacentral:rRNA from 1 species
AUAGGGACAGUUGGGGGCAUCAGUAUUCUGAAGCGAGAGGUGAAAUUCUUGGACCUUCGGAAGACUAACAACUGCGAAAGCAUUUGCCUAGGAUGUUCUCUUUAAUCAAGAACGAAAGUUGGGGGAUCGAAGACGAUCAGAUACCGUCGUAGUCUCAACUAUAAACUAUACCAGCUAGGGAUUGGUGGACGUUUAUCUACGACUCCAUCAGCACCUUAUGAGAAAUCAAAGCAUUUGGGUUCCGGGGGGAGUAUGGUCGCAAGGCUGAAACUUAAAGGAAUUGACGGGAGGGCACCACCAGGAGUGGAGCCCUGUGGCU